rnacentral:tRNA from 1 species
UCCAUGAUAAAAGUGCCGGGAUAGCUCAGUUGGUAGAGCAGAGGACUGAAAAUCCUCGUGUCACCA